rnacentral:rRNA from 1 species
CCUACGGGAGGCAGCAGUGGGGAAUAUUGCACAAUGGGGGAAACCCUGAUGCAGCGACGCCGCGUGAGCGAUGAAGUAUCUCGGUAUGUAAAGCUCUAUCAGCAGGGAAGAAAAUGACGGUACCUGACUAAGAAGCCCCGGCUAACUACGUGCCAGCAGCCGCGGUAAUACGGAGGGGGCAAGCGUUAUCCGGAUUUACGGGGUGUAAAGGGAGCGUAGACGGGCCUGCAAGCCAGAUGGGAAAGCCCGGGGCGCAACCCCGGGACUGCAUUUGAAACUGUCAGGCUAGAGUGUCGGAGAGGCAGGCGGAAUGCCUGGUGUAGCGGUGAAAUGCGUAGAUAUUAGGAAGAACCCCAGUGGCGAAGGCAGCCUGCUGGACGAUGACUGACGUUGAGGCACGAAAGCGUGGGGAGCGAACAGGAUUAGAUACCCCUGUAGUC